rnacentral:rRNA from 1 species
CCUACGGGAGGCAGCAGUGGGGAAUAUUGGGCAAUGGACGAAGCUUGACCCAGCAACGCCGCGUGAAGGAAGAAGUCUUUCGUGUGGUAAACUUCUCUUGUAUGUGAAGAGUAGAAGACGGUAGCUGGCGAUUAAGCCACUGCUAACUACGUGAGAGCAGCCGCGGUAAUACGUAGGUGGCACGCGUUGUCCGGAUUUACUGGGUGUAAAGGGCGUGUAGCCGGGUUGACAAGUCAGAUGUGAAAUCCUGCGGCUUAACCGCAGAACUGCAUUUGAAACUGUUGAUCUUGAGUACAGGAGAGGCAGACGGAAUUCGUAGUGUAGCGGUGAAAUGCGUAGAUAUUAGGAGGAACACCAGUGGCGAAGGCGGUCUGCUGGACAGCAACUGACAGUGAGGCGCGAAAGCGUGGGGAGCAAACAGGAUUAGAUACCCGUGUAGUC